rnacentral:rRNA from 1 species
UACAGAGGGUGCAAGCGUUGUUCGGAAUUAUUGGGCGUAAAGCGCGUGUAGGCGGCUUUGCAAGUCGGGUGUGAAAGCCCUCGGCUCAACCGAGGAAGUGCGCCCGAAACUGCAGAGCUUGAGUACCGGAGAGGAUGGCGGAAUUCCCCAAGUAGAGGUGAAAUUCGUAGAUAUGGGGAGGAACACCGGUGGCGAAGGCGGCCAUCUGGGACGGAUACUGACGCUGAGACGCGAAAAGCGUGGGUAGCAAACAGG